rnacentral:rRNA from 1 species
AUUGAACGCUGGCGGCAGGCUUAACACAUGCAAGUCGAGCGAGCGGCGGACGGGUGAGUAAUGUCUGGGAAACUGCCUGAUGGAGGGGGAUCACUACUGGAAACAGUAGCUAAUACCGCAUACCAUCAGAUGUGCCCAGAUGGGAUUAUCUAGUAGGUGGGGUAAGGGCUCACCUAGGCGACGCUCCCUAGCUGGUCUGCGAGGAUGACCAGCCACACUGGAACUGAGAGACUGUCCAGAUUCCUACGGGAGGCAGCAGGGGGUAAUAUUGCACAAUGGGCGCAAGACUGAUGCAGCCAUGCCGCGUGGGUGAAGAAGGCCUUCGGGUUGUAAAGCACUUUCAGCGAGGAGGCGUUACUCGCAGAAGAAGCACCGGCUAACUCCGGGCCAGCAGCCGCGGUAAUUC